GUGUAAGGUGAGAAUAGUAACAGACGUAUGCACUAGUACAAAUAUACUUAUGUUUUUGAGUAUUAAAGAGGGGAAGGAAGGAAUCUUCUAAUAAAACGAUGACUGGAUCAGGUUACAUUUUGUAUCUGUGGCACAGUACAAUGAUCAAAUACAAAAAGAAGCAGUUGAAAGGAAUAAAAGCUUGGAGGCACAAACCGGGAUUGUGUACAGGGAACUUUCAGAAUUUUGUAUUCUGAGUCUGAAGGAUGAGGUAUAAAGGAGCUGGACUGACAGAAGUUAGGGUGGUCAUGCAACAUCAUAAAUCAGUUUAAGAAAAUAUGCUGUAGCAAAGGGAAGCCAUUAAACACCAAAGCAGUUAAUGGCAUUCUCAUCAUUGUUUUAAAGUAAGAAAACUAAAAUGUCAACUUUUAGGUAACUCAGCAUUUGGGAAAUUUUUAUAGUCCAAUUGUUUGCAAUUUUUGUGGUCACAAAAGACUGCUAAGAUCAAAGUAGUUAACCUCUACUUGAUAAUCCUUCAAAAGAAUCAAUAAUUGUGUUUCAGUUGAAAUAAUUUCCAUUAUAAAUGUUGCUGUGCUUAAAAAUUUCUCUUUACAAAUCAUCAAUUUAUCUGAUGUGAAUUUGUCUUUGUUUUUGUUUUUUUCUUUUGUAAAAUGCACUCCCUGGUACAUAAAAUUCACUUUUACCAUUGUUUUCAGUAUAAUGGAUUUCUCUGCACUACAGACUUCAUUAAAGUUGAUUGGAACACCAAGAGAUGAACUUAAAUGUGCUACUACAUGACAACAUGGAGGAGAAUUGAGCAAAUGGGAUGCCUCCUCAAUUUAUACAGCUAAAAUCUUUCCAAUUAGUUGAAGAAUCCAAAAUCACCAUUGAAUCUAAAAAACAUCAAAAAAUAAGAACAUGUUAGGAAUCUGCCUCUCAGAACUGAAAAUGUGGCCUGAAAUUCAUUCAUAUCAAGAUCAAAGCAUCUUCCAGUAAGAGAGAGAGAAUGACCAGGGGAGGAGCAGAGAGAGAAGGAGACACAGAAUCCAAACAAGCUUCAGACUCUGAGAUGUAAGCACAGAACACGAUGCAGGGCUCAAACCCACCAACUGCAAGAUGAUGACCUGAGCUGAAGUCAGACGCUUAACUGACUGAGCCACCCAGGCACCUCUCUAUUCUCUAUUUUUAUGAGUUUGACCAUUUUAAAUACCUCGUAUAGGAACAAUAAAUUGUAGACAUAUGCUGGACAAUAUUGUGCCUACAUUUAACAAUACUGUAGUGUGUUCUUAAACAUUUAUCUUAAAAGGGUAAGUCUCAAACUAAGUAUUCUUACACAAUUAGAAAAAAAAAAGGCUAUCCUCCUAGGUUAGAAAUUGAAAAUUCUUAGAUUCUUCAUGAAUUUUAGAUAACAUUGGCUUUCAUUUGAAAAUAUUAUGGAUAAAUGUUGAGAGUCGGCCUUUAUUUUUAUAGCAACCAAUUUACAAGCAAUAAUUCUAGGCUAAAAUAUUCAUUAAUGACUUAGACUAAUUUUACUUUAUUAUAUUUUAUGGAAAAGGUCAGAGAGGCAACCCUUUUUGUACUUGAUGUUCUCAAUUGUGUUUUAUAUGUUUAAAGGUACCUUUUUAAAGUAUGUUUGUACAGCUCUUUUUUUUAACAUAUGCUAUUACUUAUUAAAUGACUGACACCAUGUUAGAAUUUGAGGAUGUGAUACAUGACAUCCCUUGCCUCUUGUGAAGCUCAUAGUGCGUUGUUGGGGAGAUACAUAAAAUUAGGCAUUUACAGAGUAAUAGAAUGGAUGCUAUCAUAGGUAUGAGCAUGGAGCUAUGGAACUUCAUGGAAAGGAUAGUUCUCUGGGUAAAAGUGGAAACAUGGUGACAGGUUUUCUUUAAAAUAUAGUUUACAAGUAAAGCGUACAAAAUAGUAUUAUACACACAUAUGUAUAUAUCUAUAAUUCGUAAGAUCUACAUUUAAACAACUGCUAUAGUGCAGAAAACAUGCAGAAAAUAAUACUUAAAAUGAUGAUGAAGACAAAAACUUUACCUACUUCAUCAGUUUUUCUUGGGCCAGUCCUGCACUCAUGCUUUCAAAACACUAGCACAAAUGUAGUCUCUGGGACUAUGUAUUUAAUUUAUUUCUACUCCUUGUUAUUCUCAUCGGUCUCACAGAAUGAAUAAAUUGUUGAGCAGAGGCAGAACAAUUAUAAUAUUUUAUGGAACCCAGUGAAAAGAUUUCAUAAGCUAUGACCUCGUUACUUAACCACGAGAGAAUGAUGCUUGAACCCAUUCUCUGUGCCUGAAAGAGUCAUAUUUUAUUCAUUAUUGUAGCAAGAAUAAAGAGUUAAUUUUUAAGAGUCACAGCUUAUCACCUAAGGGGAUGAUGCUCAUAAAUUUUUCACUCCAUAUAAGGACUACUCAUCAUGCUCUCAUGCAUUAUUUUAUUGGAGACACUAAUGAGUCAAAAAAGCUUCUGAUCUCUUCAUUUGUAUAGAUGUGUGUGUGUGUGUGUGUGUGUGUGUGUGUGUGUGUGUGUGUGUAAUGGGUUUGGGGGGGAAAUCUUGGACUCAGUGGUUCAUAGGAAAAAUAUGUUGUUAAAAUAUUAUGUGUAAAGAUUAGUUAUCUUCAGAUGUCAUUUACUAUCCUCUUGAUUGCAAUUUUAGUCACUAUUUUCAUUCACUUCUCAGUUACUCAGUCUAAUUAUCACAUCUGUGAAUUAGUUCAUUUUGCCUUCUAUGUAUGCCUCCAUUUACUCUUUUUACUGCUUAUUUGUACCUACACCAAAAAGUGGUAAGAAACAGAGGGUGAACAUUACAUUUGACAAUUUUCCACUUAAUAUCUUCCACAGUAAAUUAUGUAAAAUGAUUGGUUAAGUCACUAUUUCUAGGUUAUCUUUGGAUUUAGUGUUUUUUUGUUUUUAUGGUUCUCACUGUGGCUGGAGCUACACUAGUGGGAGAAAACAAAGCUCAUGCCUAUGGAACACUAUCAUAAAAAUUACUUUUUUAACUUAUACAGUGCUAUUUGUCAAUUAUAUAUCAAUAAAAUGGGAAAAGUAUCACGUUUUAAAGACUGCCUUGGGAAAGAUGGAAUGAGUUAGAAAGAAGAGGGUGUAGGAAGAAAGAAAGAAAAUAAAAAAGUAUAUGUAGUUUACACAACAGUAGAAAUGUGAAUUACAUUUUCAUGCUAAGUAGUCAUGAAUCUGCUAUAUUUCAGUCAUAGUGACCAUCUUGACGAAAACUUAGGAGAAAUAAAUCAGGAAUAACAGUAUCAAAUGAGAGAUCAGCAAUGUAAUGUGGGGCAGAGUGAAGGUAGCUUAGCGUAUAUUCAUAGUAGACUUUGCUGCAAUAAAAAACUUGAGUUUAUUUAAUUGGCAUUGUUUGGUGCAUUUUGGAACCUUUAUCUGUAAAAUUUAUUUUGAAAUUUUGAGAGAAAAAAUUUCAUAUCUGAAGUCUAAUUAAAAUAAUGCUCAUUUAAUUCAUAUAAUUACGACAGUCUCUAACAUUGAAUAAAUGUUCAAUAAAUGUUAGCCAUAAUUAUUAGCAGAAAAAGUAAGGACCACUAGUAAGAUACAAGAAUGAAAAGGAAAGAAAGGAGUCAGAAUAAGGUACAUUUUGUAAAUGGAACCUGAGCAUUAUCAAUUGGUUAGAUUUGAGGAAGGUAAAUAAAGAAAAAAAAAGUAUGUUUUGAGCAUAUUCCAAUAUUUUGUGUCCAGGUUUUGGAAAGUAAUUAUUACAGAGAGGAAUCUCAAGAAGAAGAAUUAAAUUAGAAGAAAAAUGUUUGUAUUCGUUAGAAUAGGCUAAAUUUCAGUGGCUUAGCACAGUAAAGAUUUAAUUAACACAUGGGUUCCAGCAAGUCCUCAAGGCAGCAGUUUUCUAUGCACAGCAAGGGAGUUCUGCUUCAAGCUCGCACCUCCAUCAUACCAACACAAGACCCCUCACAAUUAUGUAACACAGCAUGGAGGACUUUAUCAUUUUAAGCCAAUAUAUGUGCUCUCCUUCCCUCCUGUGUACUAGAUUACUUGGCCCUACUAAUACUGAACUUGGCUUAUGUGACUUGUGUUAGCCAAAAGAAUAUUGGCAAAAGUCAAUAAAGGAUGGGCCUGCCGGGUACUUUGGCAGUUUGGCAGGGCCCUUGGCUCUCCUGCCAUCUUUAUUAAAAAGCAUGCCCCAGGAGCUGUCGUCCUUUCAUUAUGUGCUUCCAGACUGAAAGCAGAGAACAUGCAAGCCUAGCUGAUCUCGCACUGGCUCAUAGUUUCAGCAAACGAAAAGCAAAUAUCUUUAUAUGAAAACUUUGACAUUGGGUUAUUGCAUAGUAUUAUUGCUAAUCAGUUCACUGAUCAAUACAUAAUUAAGAACACAUAGGUGGAUUUUGCACUGGCAUCAAAUGCUUUAGCCCAGAAGUGACACAGGUCACUUUAAUGCACAGUUAAUUGGUAAUAGUUUUUUUUUCUUAUUUGACAUUGAGAUGUAAUUCACAAACCAAUAAAUUUUUCUACUUAAAUUAUACAGUUCAGUAGUUUUAGUAUAUUCACAGAGUUGGACAAUCAUAAAUAACAUUCAAUUUUAAAAUAUUUAUGUCUUUCUCCAUAAGGAACCCCAUAUGCAUAAUCGGUCAGUCCCAUUUUCCCUCAAACUGUUUCAGCUGUAGGCAACUACUAAUCUAUUUUUGUUCUCUUAUAAUUUGCUUAUUUGAAACUCAAAUAAAUGGGACUAAAUAACUGUGGUAAUUUGUGACUGGCUACUUUUAUUUAGCGUUCAUUAUUUUUUCUAGGUUCAUUCAUGUCAUAGCAUGUAUUAGUAUCUCUCUCUUUCUUAUUGCUGAGUAAUAUUCCAUGCAUGGACAUACCACAUUUUGUUUACCCAUUGAACAAGUAAUGGACAUUUGGACCAUUUCCGCCAUUUGAUUACUAUGACUAUUGUAGCUAUGAACAUAUUUUACAAGCUUUUGUGUGAACAUAUGUUCCCAUUUCUCUUCAAUAUAUACAUAGGAAUAGGAUUGCUGGGACAUAUGGUAACUGUUUAAUCUUUUGAAAACAGCUAGAUUGUUUUUCAAAACAGCUACAUCACUUUACAUUCCCAUCGUCAGUAUAUGAGGAUUCCAUUUACGCCACAUCCUUGUGAGUACUUAUUAUUAUUUGACUUUUUGAUUGUAGUCGUCGUAGAGGGAGUGAAAUGGUAUUUCAUUUUGUUUUAGAUUUACAUUUCGCUGAUAGUUAAUGAUAUUCAGCAUCUGUUCAUGUGCUUAUUGGCCAUUUGAAUAUACUCUUAGGACAAAUGUCUGUUC